CAGCCGCCACGGGAAUACGUAGGUGGCAAGCGUUGUCCGGAAUUAUUGGGCGUAAAGGGCUCGCAGGCGGUUUCUUAAGUCUGAUGUAAAAGCCCCCGGCUCAACCGGGGAGGGUCAUUGGAAACUGGGAAACUUGAGUGCAGAAGAGGAGAGUGGAAUUCCACGUGUAGCGGUGAAAUGCGUAGAGAUGUGGAGGAACACCAACGGCGAAAGCACUCUGCUGGGCCGACACUGACACUGAGAGACGAAAGCUAGGGGAGCAAAUGGGAUUAGAUACCCGAGUAGUCCCUGUCUCUUAUAA
rnacentral:rRNA from 1 species